CUUGUUGUGGCUCAGUGGUUGAGCACUUGCCUAGCGUGCACGAGGCACUGGGUUCGAUCCCUGGCACCACGU
rnacentral:tRNA from 1 species